UACGGGGGGGGGCAAGCGUUGUUCGGAAUUACUGGGCGUAAAGGGCUCGUAGGCGGCCAACUAAGUCGGACGUGAAAUCCCUCGGCUUAACCGGGGAACGGCGUCCGAUACUGGAUGGCUUGAGUUUGGGAGAGGGAUGCGGAAUUCCAGGUGUAGCGGUGAAAUGCGUAGAUAUCUGGAGGAACACCGGUGGCGAAGGCGGCAUCCUGGACCGACACUGACGCUGAGGAGCGAAAGCCAGGGGAGCAAACGGG
rnacentral:rRNA from 1 species